rnacentral:rRNA from 1 species
AUUGAACGCUGGCGGCAUGCCUUACACAUGCAAGUCGAACGGCAGCACGGGAGCAAUCCUGGUGGCGAGUGGCGAACGGGUGAGUAAUGCAUCGGAACGUGCCAUUGAGUGGGGGAUAACGUAGCGAAAGUUACGCUAAUACCGCAUAUUCUGUGCGCAGGAAAGCAGGGGAUCGCAAGACCUUGCGCUCUUUGAGCGGCCGAUGUCAGAUUAGCUAGUUGGUGGGGUAAAGGCUCACCAAGGCGACGAUCUGUAGCGGGUCUGAGAGGAUGAUCCGCCACACUGGGACUGAGACACGGCCCAGACUCCUACGGGAGGCAGCAGUGGGGAAUUUUGGACAAUGGGCGCAAGCCUGAUCCAGCAAUGCCGCGUGCAGGAAGAAGGCCUCGGUUGUAACU